rnacentral:lncRNA from 1 species
AAAAAAAAAAAAAAGAACUUGAGGCUGACCAAGAAAGAGGACACCUGGAAAGGGCUUGCCUAGCCAUCACCUAAUGCAGAGCCCACCCUUGGAGGAGGCACCAUCAACAGUGACAAUGGCGUUGAGCACGUGGUUACAGUGCUGGUAAUUAGAGAUGGGGUGACAGCCUCACCCUGCCCCGGCACAGCUUCAUACCACUGGUCCCAUUUAUUUGAAGGAGCCGGUAUUCACAAGGGUGGGUGGGUGUUAGGCAUCACAUGGCCUGAUAGUGUGGGCCAGGUGGGAACAAGGGAAAUAAGCCCUGUGUGGACAGCCUCCACCUGCGAGCCAGAGCUGAGCUCUUCUCUAUUCUCACACCUGUCCUCCCUCCCAUGCCCUCUACAUGUAGCUGUGUCUCUGAGACCACUAGGUGAGUGUUCCAUGUUCCAUGGGACACACAGAAGGAGGCAUGCAAGGCUAACUCUGUGGCCUCCCUUGCCUUCUUCCAGAAAACGUAGCAGCAGUGGACAGCCACCAAGCACAGGAUUGCCUUGCCAGCCCUAGCCCCGGGGGAAAAAAAUUCCACAGUGCCAGAGACUUCAAGGUAUUCGUGGCAACAUAGUUCUAAGCACAGAGGCUGGCAGGAAGGCAGAGCAUCUUAAUUGCAACAUCAGACGAUGCCCAACCAAAUCCCCAGGACGCUCCCUGCCAUCCCUGUACUCUGUAGACACACCAGAGAUUCCGCUACAAAUAUUUACAGUGCUGUUGUUCUCACUACUGUGAGCAUAUGUGGCAAGAAAGAAUCCACAUGGCAUUCCAAGCAUGUCAUGAUCCUGGCUUUCAUUUCUAUUAAAAGUCCCGGAGGCCCUGGGUGUAAUGGAACAGAAUCACCUCUCUCCUGCCACCUUCCGAGUGCAAACAGAUCUGGCUGUAUGGUGACUUGGUGCCCUAGCCAUGCACUGUGUGAGUGAACCAUGCCAAACACAAAUGCCCUCUGCCUCAGGGGAGGGCUUCCUGGGACACACAGCUGAGAAGCCCAGGGUGCUGUGACAUGCCAGCCCAAGGUGUCCGCCCGAGUGUUCAUUCCAAGGAAGAGCAGAGCAGGUGUUUUCUGGCUGACUUGCUCCCUCUCAGGAGCACAUCAGAAGUCACAGGUAUCUUCACACUUCAUUUCCAUGUAGCUUUUUUUAAUUGCAAGGUUGUGAUUUGCUGGUGUGGAAUCUUUAGGCCCUUUCCCACCUAAUUUCACCCGGCCCAGCAGCUGGCAUGCAGACAGGGCUUCUGUCUGUUCUUGCAGAGAUGCUGGUACAGAGCCGCACUGCAGGUGCAGGUGGGUCAAAUGCAGAGGAGGCUCCUGGACCUCAGCAUUCUCCCACUCCUUCCUCCCAAGUCCAGUUCCAGCAGCAUGCAGUUCCCCUUCCUCUAGCUGUUCCUCACAGAGGCUGCACAGCAUCAUGUGAGAGAGUGGGCUUUGGAAGGAAGGAGACAGACAUCACCUGACUUCAAAACCUGCCUCCUUCCCUACCGGGCUGUGUACUUGGUCGAGGUAUUGACCUCCCUGGACCUUAAAUCCUAAAUGUAGAAUUUGGAGAUAGACUGUGGGGAGGAUGAUGUCUAAUGUUAAGUCAAGUACCCAGUACAUAGCGGGUAUCUGAUGCAUGGCAAUUAUUGUCCCCCUUGUGAGUGGGAGGAAGGUGUCAAGUGAGUGAUUAAUGGCCACAUGCAAACCCAGGUGCUUUUGACCUGCCUUGAACCCUUCAGGAACCAAGGUGUUUGCAAGUAAAACUUGCUUGGGGUUGCCUGAAGCAGACUGGAAUGAACUAUAUCUGUUCCCCUGGGAGCCCCUGCUUAAGUGCCCAUCCCUGGCUUGCUGUAUGCUAAGAUUUUGAGCAAAUGGAAAUUUUCAAUCUUUACCCAUUAGGCAUGUGCCCGCCUUCCCAGCACAUCCCAUCUCUGAACGCUACACAAAGUUCUGCUCAGGGAGGCGGGACAGCCUCGGAAAUUCCCUCAAGGACCCUGAAGGACUCAUCUCCACAGACAACCCUGUAGAUUAUCACUAACCUGCUUCCCUAAUUUUAUUGUCUAUUUUGGAUUUAAAGCAUAAAAGUUAAUGCCUGUACAUUUUCAAGGUGAUAACUGGGAAAGUCUGCGGUCAAGAUUUCUAUUCUAGCAGGUAAAAUAGGGCCCUGGAGAGUUACAGUCACUUAUCAGGGAGGGUGAGUACCAAGCACGGUGGUAUUGAAAUCAUAAAACUUAAUGCAGAGUGUGUGCAUCAACAAGGGGUUUAACUGCCAUAGCAGGAAGUAAAGCAGCCCACGCUGGGCUGGAAACCAGUCCCCGGGUACCUGCAAUACAUUAUUUUAAGUGGCCAAAGGAGUAAGCCCAGCUAACUAAAUGGGAGCCACAAACCUACCUUACUGUGGUGGUGAUACCUCAUCCAUGAGCUUCAAGCCACUUGGUAGCUCACAGAACACUGAGCUGCUGGUCACCCAAGGCCACUAGAAAAAGAAACCUAAGCACUAGCAGAUGCAUAGAGUUUGGGCAAGGGAGAUGGGAUGGAGCCUGUGGGAAUCGAGACUAAUAUUUUCUGCUUGGAGCUGAUAAGUAUUUAUAGACCCUGUUUUCAUCAAUAAAUAUUUCAGAAGCACAUAUUCCAUGCCAGGCUUCUGUGCUCUUCAGUCUAGGAGGCAAUAAGGACUGGUUCGUGCAGCUAUGGCCUGGGAGCUGCAGGAGGCCUCACUGUAGGCGGGUGCUGGAUGAGUUCGGGGGGUGCACAUUGCAUGCCCUGUCCCAGGGGUGAAGAGAGGAGACUGGGUUUGGGAGAUGAACACGGGUUCUGCACUUCCAGAGCCUAGGAUUGGGGUCAGGGGUGGAGAAAAG